rnacentral:sRNA from 1 species
AGCAGCCGCGGUAAUUCCAGCUCCAAUAGCGUAUAUUAAAGUUGCUGCAGUUAAAAAGCUCGUAGUUGAAUUUCGGGACCAUCAUGUCGGUCGUGCCUCGGUACGUACUGGCAUUGUUGGUUUCUACCUUCUGACGAACCAUGAUGUCAUUUAUUUGGUGUCGUGGGAAAUCAGGACUGUUACUUUGAAAAAUUAGAGUGUUUAAAGCAGGCUCACGCUUGAAUACAUUAGCAUGGAAUAAUGAAAUAGGACGUUUGAUUCUAUUUUGUUGGUUUCUAGGAUCGACGUAAUGAUUAAUAGGGAUAGUUGGGGGCAUUAGUAUUCAAUUGUCAGAGGUGAAAUUCUUGGAUUUAUUGAAGACUAACUACUGCGAAAGCAUUUGCCAAGGAUGUUUUCAUUAAUCAAGAACGAAAGUUAGGGGAUCGAAGACGAUCAGAUACCGUCGUAGUCUUAACCAUAAACUAUGCCGACUAGGGAUCGGAUGAUGUUAAUUUUUAAUGACUCAUUC